rnacentral:rRNA from 1 species
GAAUUGAAGAGUUUGAUCAUGGCUCAGAUUGAACGCUGGCGGCAGGCUUAACACAUGCAAGUCGAACGGUAGCAGGAGAAAGCUUGCUUUCUUGCUGACGAGUGGCGGACGGGUGAGUAAUGCUUGGGAAUCUGGCUUAUGGAGGGGGAUAACUACGGGAAACUGUAGCUAAUACCGCGUAGAAUCGGAAGAUGAAAGUGCGGGACCGCAAGGCCGCAUGCCAUGAGAUGAGCCCAAGUGGGAUUAGGUAGUUGGUGGGGUAAAGGCCUACCAAGCCUGCGAUCUCUAGCUGGUCUGAGAGGAUGGCCAGCCACACUGGAACUGAGACACGGUCCAGACUCCUACGGGAGGCAGCAGUGGGGAAUAUUGCGCAAUGGGGGAAACCCUGACGCAGCCAUGCCGCGUGAAUGAAGAAGGCCUUCGGGUUGUAAAGUUCUUUCGGUAUUGAGGAAGGGAUGUAUGUUAAUAGCAUACAUUAUUGACGUUAAAUACAGAAGAAGCACCGGCUAACUCCGUGCCAGCAGCCGCGGUAAUACGGAGGGUGCGAGCGUUAAUCGGAAUAACUGGGCGUAAAGGGCACGCAGGCGG